ACACUCCUGCGGGAGGCAGCAGUGGGGAAUAUUGCACAAUGGGCGCAAGCCUGAUGCAGCCAUGCCGCGUGUAUGAAGAAGGCCUUCGGGUUGUAAAGUACUUUCAGCGGGGAGGAAGGUGUUGAGGUUAAUAACCUCAGCAAUUGACGUUACCCGCAGAAGAAGCACCGGCUAACUCCGUGCCAGCAGCCGCGGUAAUACGGAGGGUGCAAGCGUUAAUCGGAAUUACUGGGCGUAAAGCGCACGCAGGCGGUCUGUCAAGUCGGAUGUGAAAUCCCCGGGCUCAACCUGGGAACUGCAUUCGAAACUGGCAGGCUAGAGUCUUGUAGAGGGGGGUAGAAUUCCAGGUGUAGCGGUGAAAUGCGUAGAGAUCUGGAGGAAUACCGGUGGCGAAGGCGGCCCCCUGGACAAAGACUGACGCUCAGGUGCGAAAGCGUGGGGAGCAAACAGGAUUAGAUACCCCGGUAGUCC
rnacentral:rRNA from 1 species